rnacentral:rRNA from 1 species
CCUACGGGAGGCAGCAGUGGGGAAUAUUGGACAAUGGGGGAAACCCUGAUCCAGCGACGCCGCGUGAGGGAAGAAGGAUUUCGGUACGUAAAGCUCUAUCAGCAGGAAAGAAAAUGACGUUACCUGACUAAGAAGCACCUGCUAACUACGUGCCAGCAGCCGCGGUAAUACGUAGGGGGCACGCGUUAGCCGGAUUUACUGGGGGUACAGGGAGCGUAGACGGCAGCGCAAGUCUGGAGUGAAAUGCCGGGGCCCAACCCCGGAACUGCUCUGGAAACUGGGAAGCUGGAGUGCAGGAGAGGUAAGCGGAAUUCCAGGUGUAGCAGUGAAAUGCGUAGAUAUCAGGAGGAACAUCGGCGGCGAAGGCGACUUACUGGAAUGUAACUGACGUUGAGGCGCGAAGGCGUGGGGAGCAAACAGGAUUAGAUACCCUGGUAGUC